rnacentral:rRNA from 1 species
AUUGAACGCUGGCGGCAGGCCUAACACAUGCAAGUCGGGCGGAUGAGGAGAGCUUGCUCUCUGAUUUAGCGGCGGACGGGUGAGUAAUGCCUAGGAAUCUGCCUGGUAGUGGGGGAUAACGUCCGGAAACGGGCGCUAAUACCGCAUACGUCCUACGGGAGAAAGCAGGGGACCUUCGGGCCUUGCGCUAUCAGAUGAGCCUAGGUCGGAUUAGCUAGUUGGUGAGGUAAUGGCUCACCAAGGCGACGAUCCGUAACUGGUCUGAGAGGAUGAUCAGUCACACUGGAACUGAGACACGGUCCAGACUCCUACGGGAGGCAGCAGUGGGGAAUAUUGGACAAUGGGCGAAAGCCUGAUCCAGCCAUGCCGCGUGUGUGAAGAAGGUCUUCGGAUUGUAAAGCACUUUAAGUUGGGAGGAAGGGCAGUAAGUUAAUACCUUGCUGUUUUGACGUUACCGACAGAAUAAGCACCGGCUAACUUCGUGCCAGCCGCCGCAGUAA